GGAGGGAUGGCCGAGUGGUUUAAGGCGGUGGUCUUGAAAACCACAGUACGUUAACGCGUACCGCGGGUUCGAAUCCUGCUCCCUCCGCCA
rnacentral:tRNA from 1 species